rnacentral:rRNA from 1 species
GACGAACGCUGGCGGCGUGCUUAACACAUGCAAGUCGAACGAUGAAGCCUAGCUUGCUAGGUGGAUUAGUGGCGAACGGGUGAGUAAUACGUGAGUAACCUACCUUUAACUCUGGGAUAAGCCUGGGAAACUGGGUCUAAUACCGGAUACGACCAAUCUCCGCAUGGGGUGUUGGUGGAAAGCGUUAUGUAGUGGUUAUAGAUGGGCUCACGGCCUAUCAGCUUGUUGGUGAGGUAACGGCUCACCAAGGCGACGACGGGUAGCCGGCCUGAGAGGGUGACCGGCCACACUGGGACUGAGACACGGCCCAGACUCCUACGGGAGGCAGCAGUGGGGAAUAUUGCACAAUGGGCGCAAGCCUGAUGCAGCGACGCCGCGUGAGGGAUGACGGCCUUCGGGUUGUAAACCUCUGUUAGCAGGGAAGAAGAGAGAUUGACGGUACCUGCAGAGAAAGCGCCGGCUAACUACGUGCCAGCAGCCGCGGUAAUACGUAGGGCGCGAGCGUUGUCCGGAAUUAUUGGGCGUAAAGAGCUUGUAGGCGGCUUGUCGCGUCUGCUGUGAAGGCCGGAGCUUAACUCCGUGUAUUGCAGUGGGUACGGGCAGACUAGAGUGCAGUAGGGGAGACUGGAAUUCCUGGUGUAGCGGUGGAAUGCGCAGAUAUCAGGAGGAACACCGAUGGCGAAGGCAGGUCUCUGGGCUGUAACUGACGCUGAGAAGCGAAAGCAUGGGGAGCGAACAGGAUUAGAUACCCUGGUAGUCCAUGCCGUAAACGUUGGGCACUAGGUGUGGGGAACAUUCCACGUUUUCCGCGCCGUAGCUAACGCAUUAAGUGCCCCGCCUGGGGAGUACGGCCGCAAGGCUAAAACUCAAAGAAAUUGACGGGGGCCCGCACAAGCGGCGGAGCAUGCGGAUUAAUUCGAUGCAACGCGAAGAACCUUACCAAGGCUUGACAUAUACUGGACCGCAUCAGAGAUGGUGUUUCCCUUCGGGGCUGGUAUACAGGUGGUGCAUGGUUGUCGUCAGCUCGUGUCGUGAGAUGUUGGGUUAAGUCCCGCAACGAGCGCAACCCUCGUUCUAUGUUGCCAGCACGUUAUGGUGGGGACUCAUAGGAGACUGCCGGGGUCAACUCGGAGGAAGGUGGGGAUGACGUCAAAUCAUCAUGCCCCUUAUGUCUUGGGCUUCACGCAUGCUACAAUGGCCGGUACAGAGGGUUGCGAUACUGUGAGGUGGAGCUAAUCCCUAAAAGCCGGUCUCAGUUCGGAUUGGGGUCUGCAACUCGACCCCAUGAAGUCGGAGUCGCUAGUAAUCGCAGAUCAGCAACGCUGCGGUGAAUACGUUCCCGGGCCU